AGGGUAGAACUUUUUGAGUGGUUUUUGUAUGCAAUUGAAAUUAAGUUUUUAUCUGUUUGAAAUAGAAUGGUAUAAUAUUACAAUAAUUUCUUCAGAAAGAU